GAUGAACGCUGGCGGCGUGCCUAAUACAUGCAAGUCGAGCGAACGGACGAGAAGCUUGCUUCUCUGAUGUUAGCGGCGGACGGGUGAGUAACACGUGGAUAACCUACCUAUAAGACUGGGAUAACUUCGGGAAACCGGAGCUAAUACCGGAUAAUAUUUUGAACCGCAUGGUUCAAAAGUGAAAGACGGUCUUGCUGUCACUUAUAGAUGGAUCCGCGCUGCAUUAGCUAGUUGGUAAGGUAACGGCUUACCAAGGCAACGAUGCAUAGCCGACCUGAGAGGGUGAUCGGCCACACUGGAACUGAGACAUGGUCCAGACUCCUACGGGAGGCAGCAGUAGGGAAUCUUCCGCAAUGGGCGGAAGCCUGACGGGACAACGCCGCGUGAGUGAUGAAGGUCUUCGGAUCGUAAAACUCUGUUAUUAGGGAAGAACAUAUGUGUAAGUAACUGUGCACAUCUUGACGGUACCUAAUCAGAAAGCCACGGCUAGCUACGUG
rnacentral:rRNA from 1 species